rnacentral:rRNA from 1 species
UACGGGGGGGGCAAGCGUUGUUCGGAAUUACUGGGCGUAAAGGGCUCGUAGGCGGCCAACUAAGUCAGACGUGAAAUCCCUCGGCUUAACCGGGGAACUGCGUCUGAUACUGGAUGGCUUGAGAUUGGGAGAGGGAUGCGGAAUUCCAGGUGUAGCGGUGAAAUGCGUAGAUAUCAAGCGGAACACCGGUGGCGAAGGCGGCCUUCUGGACGAUGACUGACGCUGAGACGCGAAAGCGUGGGGAGCAAACAGG